rnacentral:rRNA from 1 species
CUACGGGUGGCACCAGUGGGGAAUAUUGCACAAUGGGCGCAAGCCUGAUGCAGCAACGCCGCGUGAGGGAUGAAGGCCUUCGGGUUGUAAACCCCUUUUAGCAGGGAAGAAGCGAAAGUGACGGUACCUGCAGAAAAAGCACCGGCUAACUACGUGCCAGCAGCCGCGGUAAUACGUAGGGUGCAAGCGUUGUCCGGAAUUAUUGGGCGUAAAGAGCUCGUAGGCGGUUUGUCACGUCUGCUGUGAAAAUCCAAGGCUCAACCUUGGACUUGCAGUGGGUACGGGCAGGCUAGAGUGCGGUAGGGGAGAUGGGAAUUCCUGGUGUAGCGGUGGAAUGCGCAGAUAUCAGGAGGAACACCAAUGGCGAAGGCACAUCUCUGGGCCGUAACUGACGCUGAGGAGCGAAAGCGUGGGGAGCGAACAGGAUUAGAUACCCGUGUAGUC